rnacentral:rRNA from 1 species
AACGAACGCUGGCGGCAGGCCUAACACAUGCAAGUCGAGCGAAGACGUCCGUCCUUUGGGCGGACGGGGGGUGAACGCCUGGGGACGAGCCCUUUGCUACCGUAUCCCUCUCGGAAGCUGGGCGUAAUACCGGUUGGGCCCUUAGCGGGAAAGAUUUCCUGGCGCAGGAUCGGCCCGCGUAGGUUUAGGUAGUUGGUGGGGUAAUGGCCUACCAAGCCGAGGAUCCAUAGCUGGUUGGUGAGGAUGCGCGGCCACACUGGGACUGAGACACGGCCCAGACUCAGACGGGAGGCGGCAGUGGGGAGUCUUAGGCAAUGGGGGAAACACUGAUCUAGCCAUGCCGCGUGAGCGAUGAAGGCCUUAGGGUUGUAAAGCUCUUUCAGCUGGGAAGAUAAUGACGGUACCAGCAGAAGAAGCCCCGGCUAACUCCGUG